rnacentral:rRNA from 1 species
GAUGAACGCUGGCGGCGUGCCUAAUACAUGCAAGUCGAGCGAACGGACGAGAAGCUUGCUUCUCUGAUGUUAGCGGCGGACGGGUGAGUAACACGUGGAUAACCUACCUAUAUGACUGGGAUAACUUCGGGAAACCGGAGCUAAUACCGGAUAAUAUUUUGAACCGCAUGGUUCAAAAGUGAAAGACGGUCUUGCUGUCACUUAUAGAUGGAUCCGCGCUGCAUUAGCUAGUUGGUAAGGUAACGGCUUACCAAGGCAACGAUGCAUAGCCGACCUGAGAGGGUGAUCGGCCACACUGGAACUGAGACACGGUCCAGACUCCUACGGGAGGCAGCAGUAGGGAAUCUUCCGCAAUGGGCGAAAGCCUGACGGAGCAACGCCGCGUGAGUGAUGAAGGUCUUCGGAUCGUAAAACUCUGUUAUUGGGGAAGAACAGAUGUGGAAGUAACUGUGCACAUCUUGACGGUACCUAAUCAGAAAGCCACGGCUAACUACGUG